GGAAGCUGCUGGUUGUCCUGGCCCCUUCCAGGUUUCCUGUAUAUUCCAGGUUUUUUCUGGCCUCCCUGACUAUCCAGCUAUAGUAUGAGUGAUGGUAACGCCCAAAUAUAUGUCUAACUAUCAUCUGGCAGCAGCUGUCUUGUAUACAAAUACAGCUGUGGUGGGAGUUCGUCUAUGGGGAAUACACAUGCUGUGUAUUUGUGGGGUUGAAGUGUUCCCAAUGGUCAACUUCAGGCCCAUAGACUCAGGUUAUUUAUGUAAAUAUAAUCAGUCGAAUCAUAGGUACUGUCCAGGGGAUUAUCACCCCUUGGUUCAGGUCUAUAUCAGAGGGGGUCGCUACCCUUCAGGCAGAGCUCCUAUGGAGCAUUCAGUCUCUCCUAGCAG